rfam:Coprobacillus sp. CAG:605 genomic scaffold, scf133
ACGUUAAAAAAGCGCGUACCGAAGACAGUAAGUACAAAAAUAAAUCUUACCGAGGGAAACUUAAUCUAAACAUUUUCUAAUGUUUAAUUAAGCUUUCCUAUACGGGAAAGCUUUUUUAAAUAAAUAU